GGGCAGGAUAGGUGAAGGGGGCCCACCAGUAACACUGGUUGGCCACCCUUCACAGGCCCACUUCUUCGCGCCUGCGCGCUCAAUGGGGGCUAUCCUGCGGAGGAGAU
rfam:Nitrospira sp. HN-bin3 contig1375, whole genome shotgun sequence.